rnacentral:rRNA from 1 species
AAUCAACGCUGGCGGCGUGCCUCAGACAUGCAAGUCGAACGAUUAAAGCUCUCUUCGGAGAGUGCAUAGAGUGGCGCACGGGUGAGUAACACGUAAGUAAUCUACCCUCGAGUGGGGAAUAACGUCCGGAAACGGACGCUAAUACCGCAUAAUGCAGCGGCACCGCAAGGUGACAGUUGUUAAAGAUUUAUCGCUUGAGGAGGAGCUUGCGGCAGAUAGCUAGUUGGUAAGGUAAUGGCUUACCAAGGCUACGAUCUGUAACCGGUCUUAGAGGACGGUCGGUCACACUGACACUGAAUAACGGGUCAGACUCCUAC